rnacentral:rRNA from 1 species
ACGGCUCACCAAGGCCACGAUGCAUAGCCGACCUGAGAGGGUGAUCGGCCACAUUGGGACUGAGACACGGCCCAAACUCCUACGGGAGGCAGCAGUAGGGAAUCUUCGGCAAUGGACGAAAGUCUGACCGAGCAACGCCGCGUGAGUGAAGAAGGUUUUCGGAUCGUAAAACUCUGUUGUUAGAGAAGAACAAGGAUGAGAGUAACUGUUCAUCCCUUGACGGUAUCUAACCAGAAAGCCACGGCUAACUACGUGCCAGCAGCCGCGGUAAUACGUAGGUGGCAAGCGUUGUCCGGAUUUAUUGGGCGUAAAGCGAGCGCAGGCGGUUUCUUAAGUCUGAUGUGAAAGCCCCCGGCUCAACCGGGGAGGGUCAUUGGAAACUGGGAGACUUGAGUGCAGAAGAGGAGAGUGGAAUUCCAUGUGUAGCGGUGAAAUGCGUAGAUAUAUGGAGGAACACCAGUGGCGAAGGCGGCUCUCUGGUCUGUAACUGACGCUGAGGCUCGAAAGCGUGGGGAGCAAACAGGAUUAGAUACCCUGGUAGUCCACGCCGUAAACGAUGAGUGCUAAGUGUUGGAGGGUUUCCGCCCUUCAGUGCUGCAGCUAACGCAUUAAGCACUCCGCCUGGGGAGUACGACCGCAAGGUUGAAACUCAAAGGAAUUGACGGGGGCCCGCACAAGCGGUGGAGCAUGUGGUUUAAUUCGAAGCAACGCGAAGAACCUUACCAGGUCUUGACAUCCUUUGACCACUCUAGAGAUAGAGCUUCCCCUUCGGGGGCAAAGUGACAGGUGGUGCAUGGUUGUCGUCAGCUCGUGUCGUGAGAUGUUGGGUUAAGUCCCGCAACGAGCGCAACCCUUAUUGUUAGUUGCCAUCAUUUAGUUGGGCACUCUAGCAAGACUGCCGGUGACAAACCGGAGGAAGGUGGGGAUGACGUCAAAUCAUCAUGCCCCUUAUGACCUGGGCUACACACGUGCUACAAUGGGAAGUACAACGAGUCGCGAAGUCGCGAGGCUAAGCUAAUCUCUUAAAGCUUCUCUCAGUUCGGAUUGUAGGCUGCAACUCGCCUACAUGAAGCCGGAAUCGCUAGUAAUCGCGGAUCAGCACGCCGCGGUGAAUACGUUCCCGGGCCUUGUACACACCGCCCGUCACACCACGAGAGUUUGUAACACCCGAAGUCGGUGAG